UACGUAGGGGGCAAGCGUUGUCCGGAAUCAUUGGGCGUAAAGAGCGCGUAGGCGGUCCGGUAAGUCCGCUCUGAAAGCCCGGGGCUCAACCCCGGGAGGCGGGCGGAUACUGUCGGGCUAGAGUCCGGAAGAGGCGAGUGGAAUUCCUGGUGUAGCGGUGAAAUGCGCAGAUAUCAGGAGGAACACCGAUGGCGAAGGCAGCUCGCGGGGACGGUACUGACGCUGCGGCGCGAAAGCGUGGGGAGCAAACAGG
rnacentral:rRNA from 1 species